ACGUGUAGUGAAUGUCUAAAAGGCGAGACACAGCUCUGGGGGUGGCGCAGGAGCCUCCCCCUACUCUACUGACUGGGUGAAGAUGUUUGCCCUGGCUCAGAUCUCCAAGAGCUGGGUCCUGCAGGUGCCCAUCCCCUGCCCUCACGCCCCUCCCAGGGGGAUCCGGGAGAGCUGCAGGAGCUACAGCCAAGAUGAGGGGGCGGGGGUGCUUCUGAACAGAGGAAUAACCUACCCUGCCCCCCGAGCUGGCCGCAUGCACCUAUUGCCAGGAAAGCAGUUCAGGAGAAAACUGGCAGCCUCUGCAGAAUGUUAAAAGCCCCAAGGUGAGAAGCCCAGAGACAGGAGAAGUCCCCUCUUCUGCUUACACACCCCCACCCCUGCAAAUCCAUGGAUGCCCCAACUUCCAUAGGAACUGUGUGACAACGCCCAGGGAAGAUAAGACUCUCAAACGAAGGAAGGGGAAAUAAAAACAGCUCAUUCCUAGAACCAGCCGUCACAUGCAAACCAGCCUUCCUGACCUGCGGGUCACAUGGCCUGCCUGGGGCAGGCUUGCCUCUCUCUCCGGCCAGCGACCGGGCAGUUUCGGCCACCUUGGCCCUGGCAGAUCCACAAUGAGGUAAUUGACGACCAAGGACGGG